GACAGAGGGUGCAAACGUUGUUCGGAAUUACUGGCGUAAAGCGCGUGUAGGCGGCCCUGCAAGUCGGAUGUGAAAUCCCACGGCUCAACCAUGGAAGUGCAUUCGAAACUGCAGAGCUAGAGUCCUGGAGAGGAAGGUGGAAUGCUUGGUGUAGAGGUGAAAUUCGUAGAUAUCAAGCGGAACACCGGUGGCGAAGGCGGCCUU
rnacentral:rRNA from 1 species